AGCAAUACCAGGCAUCCCCCAGCAUCGCUGUGGAGCUCCGGACACAAUGGACUUUUAUUGACAGUUACCUAUGGUGGUGUUGUGAUAAAUCACUGGUCAAUUGCUUUGCACAUCUAAUGUGCAUGUGUCUAUGAUUUCAAACUCCUGGAGGUGAAGACUAGUGUCCCAUAGCACACGUGUCUUCUGCACAGGAAGGAAACAGUUGCCAUUGGACUGUAGCUUUUCUUACAUCUUGGCCAUUGCCUAUUGAUAAGGUCAGCCAAGACUACAACAAAAUGAUUAAGAGGAUGGAA